rnacentral:piRNA from 1 species
UAGUCAUUCCUUUCUUGAAGUUUCAGAG